GCAUUGGUGGUUCAGUGGUAGAGUUCUCGUCUGCCAUGCGGGAGACCCGGGUCCGAUUCCCGGCCAAUGCA
rnacentral:tRNA from 1 species